rnacentral:rRNA from 1 species
CCCUUAGAUGUUCUGGGCCACACGCGCGUUACACUGAUGAAGCCAGCGAGUAUAUCGCCUUCACCGGAAGGUGCGGGUAAUCUUGUGAAACUUCAUCGUGCUGGGGAUAGACCAUUGCAAUUAUUGGUCUUGAACGAGGAAUUCCUAGUAAGCAUGAGUCAUCGACUCGUGCUGAUUACGUCCCUGCCCUUUGUACACACCGCCCGUCGCUACUACCGAUUGAAUGGUUUAGUGAGAUCUCGGGAUUGGAGACGUUGCGCCGCAAGGCACAUCGUCCUCGAGAACUUGAUCAAACUUGAUCAUUUAGAGGAAGUAAAAGUCGUAACA